rnacentral:rRNA from 1 species
GCCUACGGGGGGCAGCAGUGAGGAAUAUUGGUCAAUGGUCGGGAGACUGAACCAGCCAAGCCGCGUGAGGGAUGAAGGUACAGAGUAUCGUAAACCUCUUUUGUCAGGGAACAAAGGCGGGGACGCGUCCCCGGAUGAGUGUACCUGAAGAAAAAGCAUCGGCUAACUCCGUGCCAGCAGCCGCGGUAAUACGGAGGAUGCGAGCGUUAUCCGGAUUUAUUGGGUUUAAAGGGAGCGUAGACGGCUGAGCAAGCCUGAAGUGAAAGGCGGGGGCCCAACCCCUGGACUGCUUUGGGAACUGUACG